GCGGAAGGAUCAUUAACGAGUUAGGGUCCCUCGCGGCCCGACCUCCCCAACCCUUUGUCUACCUGACCACUGUUGCUUCGGCGAGCCCGUCUGUAAUGGACCGCCGGGGGGUACCUUGAUCGGCCCUCUGGUCCGCGCUCGUCGAUAGCCAAACUUUUAAAAUCUUAACCAAACGUGUCUCAAUCUAAGUAUUAUUUGUUAAAUAAAAGCAAAACUUUCAACAACGGAUCUCUUGGUUCUGGCAUCGAUGAAGAACGCAGCGAAAUGCGAUAAGUAAUGCGAAUUGCAGAAUUUCAGUGAGUCAUCGAAUCUUUGAACGCACAUUGCGCCCUUUGGUAUUCCGAAGGGCAUGCCUGUUCGAGCGUCAUUAUCACCCCUCAAGCCCCCGGCUUGGUGUUGGACGGUUUGGUGGAGGCCCCCUCGCGGGGCCACCGCCCCUCCCAAAGACAAUGACGGCGGCCUCGUUGGACCCCCGGUACACUGAGUUCUUCACGGGACACGUAUCGGACACAUGGGUUUACGGGACACGGUCUGCCUCCCCUCAGGGAGAAUCUUUCUAAGGUUGACCUCGGAUCAGGUAGGGAUACCCGCUGAACUUAAGCAUAUCAAUAAGCGGAGGAAAAGAAACCAACAGGGAUUGCCUCAGUAACGGCGAGUGAAGCGGCAACAGCUCAAAUUUGAAAUCUGGCCUCUUUGGGGUCCGAGUUGUAAUUUGUAGAGGAUGUUUCGGGUACCGCCUCGGUUUAAAUUUCUUGGAACAGAAUGUCAAAGAGGGUGAGAAUCCCGUCUUGGACCGGCGGUAGGGCCCAUGUGAAACUCCUUCGACGAGUCGAGUUGUUUGGGAAUGCAGCUCAAAAUGGGUGGUAAAUUUCAUCUAAAGCUAAAUAUUGGCCAGAGACCGAUAGCGCACAAGUAGAGUGAUCGAAAGAUGAAAAGCACUUUGAAA
rnacentral:sRNA from 1 species